GAUAAGAAUAAAGUAAUUUCCCUCUGUACAUUACCCAAACCCCUAAACUAACAAACCUCUUGGCUUCACAACCUUCCUAUAGAUUAAUGAGAAUGGUGCCCUAUCAAACCAGUACACCGAACCCUUGAACUUCUGGAUUCGAACCUAGUUUACUGAAGAAAAAAAAAGGCUAAUUUCUUCAUGUGUAAAUUGCUCCUUUCGAUCUAUUUGAUGACCAUCAAACACCAAUGAAGUUUGUUGCCGGUUUCGUUUUCUCAGUCUUAUCAUUGCUGUUGCCUUUCGGCGGCUUUGCCAAGAAGGUCGUCGAUAAGAAGAAGCGACCUCCAGGUCCUUCAGGGCUCCCCAUAAUCGGAAACCUCCACCAAAUAGGCUCAAUGCCACACCGCUUUCUGGCCAAACUGGCCAAAACCUAUGGACCCCUCUUGCUCCUAAACCUAGCCCAACUGCCCACCCUGGUGGUGUCUUCUGCAAAUAUGGCAGAGCCAGUCCUGAAGGUCAAUGACCUCGCAUUCUCGAGCAGACCCCUCUCAUUGCGGUCAAGCGUCUGUCGUAUGGCUACUCAAACGUUUCAUUUUCGCCCUAUGGGACAUACUGGCGGAAAGUUCGCAAGAUUUGUAUCCUUGAACUGCUCAACACAAAGAGGAUGCAGUCGUUUCAGCCGGUGAGAGAAGAAGAAGUGAAACAUUGGAUUGAUUCUAUCCCAUCUUCCGCCGAAACUGGUUUGCCUAUGAAUUUGAGCAUGAUGUUACCUGCGCAACACAAACGUUUCAGCCGGAGAUUGGCAGCAGGAUUUUCUAUAGGGGAUGUGUUUCCAUCAAUGGAGUGGGUGAACUACCUUGCUGGACGACAAUACCGGAUCGAGAAAAACUUUGCUAGAUGGGAUGAAUUUCUUGAAACAGUGAUAGCUGAUCAUUUUCUUUCUUCUCAUGGGGAGGCCAAGGAAGAGGAGGAUUUCGUUGAUGUUCUACUGCAACUGCAGAGAGAGGAGACCCCUGACUUCACCCUCACCAGAGAUCAAAUUAAAUCACUUGUCUUGGAUAUGUUUGCAGGUGCGACAGAAAGUGCAUCCGCGACAUUAGAGUGGGGAAUGUCUGAGCUGAUGAAGAACCCGGAAGUGAUGCGAAAUGCCCAAACUGAAGUGCGAAGGAUCACAAAAAGCAGUGGCAAAACAAUGAUAGAAGAGAGAGAUUUGCAGCACUUGGAUUAUCUCAAAAGGGUGGUGAAGGAGAUCUUGAGGGUACAUCCCCCUGCUCCACUAUUGCUUCCCCAUGAGAGUAUAGAGGACUGUGAUCUUGAUGGCUAUCGAAUCCCUUCAGGGACCAGGGUUUUCCUAAAUGCUUGGGCAAUUGGGAGCACCCCGACUCUUGGGACGACCCAGAAGCAUUCAAGCCCGACAGGUUUAAAGAGAGUAGCAUUGAUUUCAGGGGACAGCAUUUCCAGCUUAUUCCAUUCGAGGCAGGUCGAAGGGGUUGUCCUGGACUCUCAUUUGGAGUGGCUGUUGUAGAACUUGCAUUGGGGAAUCUCUUGCUCCAAUUCGAUUGGGAACUGCCUGAUGGGGUGAAACAGAGAGAGUUGGACAUGACUGAAGCGCUGGGUAUCACUGUGCAUAGAAAAUCAAAUUUGAUCCUCAAGGCGACGCCUUGCCACAGUAUAUAGUGGUAUCAGGGACUAUUUUUCAUGGUGGUGACUAUGGCCAUUGUUCUGUUUCCAAAUUAUGUAGAAUAGGUAGAUGGACAAAUAUUAGUCUGAAAUCUUGUGGGUGAUGCAUGACUAAAAAAACAUGGUGAAGUUCAUAGGGCCAUAAUUUCAAGCACUACUAUUAUUAUU